rnacentral:tRNA from 1 species
CGGGGCAUGGUGUAAUUGGCUAACAUUUGCGCAUGGGGUGCGUAAGAUUCCCGGUUCGAGCCCGGGUGCCCCGACCA